rnacentral:lncRNA from 1 species
UUUUUUUUUUUUUUUUCUCUCCCAUUUCCUCUUUUCCCAUCACGAUCCCAUUUCCUCUUUUCCCACCAUGGUCCCUUUCCUCUUUUCCUUGGGCAGAAUCGCCUCCCACUAUCCCAGGAUGCUCCAAGCCCUCUCCAACCUUUCCUUAAACCUUCCAGGGAUGGGGAAUGCACCGUCCUCUCUGGGUGGUGCCAGGAGCACCCUCUGGUGCUGCUGCACCAUCUCCUGGUGCUCAUCCCCAAACCAGCCCAGUCCUUGGCCAGGACGCUCCCGGAUGGAUUUCCAGGGACGUUUGGCGUGGGUGAGCCACACAAACGUAGCCUGAGCCCCUUUUUCCAGCGCUCCCCUUGCAGAGUUCCAUCCUUUUUUCCCGUUCCCAAGGCAAUUCCAAGGCCACACGGACGGGGCCAGCUGCAUAGACAUCUCCCACGACGGUACGAAGCUGUGGACGGGGGGCCUGGACAACACGGUGCGAUCCUGGGACCUGCGGGAAGGGCGGCAGCUGCAGCAGCACGACUUCACCUCCCAGAUCUUCUCUCUGGGGUACUGCCCCACGGGCGAGUGGCUGGCAGUGGGCAUGGAGAGCAGCAACGUGGAGGUGCUGCACCACACCAAACCCGACAAGUACCAGCUGCACCUGCACGAGAGCUGCGUCCUCUCCCUCAAAUUCGCCUACUGCGGGAAGUGGUUUGUGAGCACCGGGAAGGACAACCUGCUCAACGCCUGGAGGACGCCCUACGGAGCCAGCAUCUUCCAGUCCAAGGAAUCCUCGUCCGUGCUGAGCUGCGACAUCUCUGCGGAUGACAAAUACAUCGUCACGGGCUCUGGGGACAAGAAGGCCACGGUCUACGAGGUCAUCUACUGAGCCUGGGAAUUCCAGCCCUCGGGAACGCUCCGGGAACGCCCAGGGGAGGCCCCGGGCCCGGCCCAGCUCCGCCCGGCACCCGCCACACCUGGAUUUAUUUGGAGAUCUGCAGCAGCUCUGGCACACACGGAAGCCCUAAAAAGGAUUUUUAUUUGGUUUUAAGGUUUUUUGGGGGUUCCUUUUGAUUUUUUUUUUUUGUUGUUGUUGUUGUUUUCCGGUUCUUUCCGUCUGGCUUUGGUGGCACUAUAAAGGACUCCUUUUUUAUUGGGACUUCUAUUUUUUUUUGGUUUUUUUUUUUUGUGCAUCCCGCAUAAGACUUGUGAAAAAUGUAAAUACUGGACUAGGAAAUAGCGUGGGAAGGGGGGAACCCUCCCAGUACACUUAGUUGUGUAUUUUUGUCUGCUGUAAUUGUAUCCCACUGAUGGUUUUUGGUGGUGGCAAUUUUAUUCUGGGGGUUUUUUUUCGGUUGGUUUUAUUUUUAUUUUUAUUUUUUUUUGCGGGGGGGGUUCUAUUUUUUAUUUUUUUUUGCCCCCUUUUCCUUCCCCCUCCCUCCGGAAGCAUCCACGGGGACUUUGCCAUCCUGAGCAGAGAUGUCCAGUGGUGAAAAGUUGUUCCUCCUGUCGUGCGUCGUGUGUUAGUGAUGGUGGGGAAUCGCUGGGAUCCUCGGCUACUGACGGGACAUCGACACAACCACCUUGGGGUUUGUUUUUUAUAGAUGGAUUUAUGGAUUUAUCCUCAAUUUUUUUUUUUUGUUUUUGGGGGGGUUUUUUGGGGUUUUAUUUUUUUCUUUUUUUGGGUUGUUUUUUUUUUCCCAUGCUUGGAUGUUUGAAGAAAAGGGGAAGCCCACGCAAGCCCUUCUUGGUCUUCGGACAGAAGCAAAUGAGGAGUGAUUUCAAAGAAAGCUUAGAAAAUUCAGCUCAGGGAGCCACGAAAGAUAAUAGCAAACUUAUGUGUUUUGUAUUCAAAUGAAAGUAAAGAAUUAGAAUUGAUAACCUUGGAGAAAAAAAAAAAAAAAAAGAAAAAAAAGACAAAAAAAAGAAAAAAAUUACAAGUUUUUUUUUUUAAAAAAAAAGAAACAAAAAGUUUACUAACAAGUAGGGUUUGUGUGUGGUGGGGGGGCUGCUUGUGGUCCUUGUGGGCUUUAUGGUCUUGUGUCUUCUGGUUUUAUGGAGCAACUCCCUCCCCCCACAGGCCUUUUGUACUAAAGGGUUCCAAAAAGGACAAAAAAAAAAAAAACAAAACCCAAAAAAAAAAGACAAAAAAACAAAACAAAACAAACAAAAAAAAAAGACCUAAGGGGAAAAUAAAAGUAUUUGUGUAGCAGAAGUGCUCGCCUGU